UCAUGGUGGUUAUUUGACCACAUUUCACCACUCUGGUUAAUGUGGGUUGGUGAAGACGUAUAGUAUGUAUAGUACAACCAAUUUUGAUGGACUGCCCUUUGCUGCCCACCAUGUAGCCCGACACCACACUUUUAGACCUGUUAUGCACUAUCCUGGCUCAAACCCUGCUGAGCGUCCGAUUAAAACACUGACGAGAUCUCAAUAUUUAAAACUGGCCCAAAGCCCCGUCAUAGCACGAACAUUACACUUUACCUAUCUCAACAAAUGUGGACAUCAUGAAUCUUUGGUCUAAUCUCAGAUCUUGUGAGUUAGAACUCGGGGGCUCCUCAUGCACAGCCAGCCAAGGAUAACUCCCCGCUAUAGUGACGUCACAGCAAAAGGGCGUGACGUCACCUAAAUAUGGGCGUGGUCAAAAGCGGCCCCAUCCCCCGCUCUUCCCGACCUUGCUUCCCCCCUUGCCGAGGUUACCCACAUGAACAAUAAUAAUAAAUCAUAGAUGUACAUUAUGAAAGAAUCAAUUAUUUUUCACAAAACUGCUCCUGUACGGCCUUUUGCCAAUCCCCUGCUGGAGAGCCUCUUGACGAUCGCACGAAUCGUGUUGGUUAUUUGCACAUACUUCACCAUGCCGGUGAGUAUGGGUUGGUAAAGGAAAAGGAGGAGCAUUAACGUACAAACAAAAACCUAUUUUACUAGAAUGCCUUCUGCUUCCCAUCAUGUAGCCUGUAACACCUGGUAUGCGCUAUCCAGACUCCAACCUCCUUAACGUUAGAUGGAGACAUCUGGCACAUCCCCAGCAGUUUUGUCCACAGGCUCAACAUAUAACACAAACACACAUCUCUAACACUAACGUUAAACUUUACCUAUCUCGACGAAGGUAGACAUCGUGAAUCUUUGAUUUUUUCUCGAAUUCAGAGUCAGAAGUCAGGAGCUCCUCGCGUGCACAGCCAGCCCACGAUAAAGUCCGACCCAGAAUGAUGUCACCGUGACGUCGGUUCAAUAUAGGCGUGGCCAGAAUGUGGGUGUGGCCAACGGCGGCGGCUUCCCCGCCCCCCGCUGCCCCUCCCCGCAGGUUUCUCUCAACCCUCAGUGCGCAUGCGCAGGCCGCGCGUCUCGGACAUCGCCUUCAGCGGCCGUUGGCGACGCGGCGGUUGUGGCGGGAAAAUUAAUAAAAAAAACUUCUCCGAAUAACCGCGACCUUUAACUACCCUCACGGAUAAUCCACACGGAUCUCUGGACGGCAAGGCGAAGACGAUCAAUGGAAUAAUCUCCGUGCUGCUCGUAGGCGAGCGGUGCGCUGGACGCCUACAUCGAGGACUUUGAGCAGAGCGGAAUCUGUGCGUCACCGCCACCCAGGAUACGUGCAGAGCACAGCGCCGCGCAGCAUGGCGGAGCGGAGACGCGCGGAGGAGAGGAGGAUGCACAGUGUGGAUGAGGGUGGCAUGCUGCUUGUGGAGGACCUCAUCUCGGGCACGUGCAGCCUCACUGCUGCGCUGCAGCGGGCGUGGCUCAGAGCCCGAUGGUCAGUCUAACCACGGACCAGCUCCUAGCGGCGCCAGAUGCCGGUUCCUCCAAGUCCUUGCUCCGCUCGCCUGGCGCCCACCGAGACCUCGCAGUGUCGCACAGAGGCAAGCGGUCAUCUCUCGGGGUCACCGCGCACAGCCUCGGCGCAUCAUUGCCUCAUUGGAGGAGCUGCUGAGCAGGGCGCGCAUGGCGUUGGACUCCCCCGGCUUGGAGGCCCCCUCCCCGGGCAGCUUCAACACGGACAUCUUCCUAGGGGCUGAUCGUCCCUGGGAAAACCCCUCCACGCCAUUGUGAAUUUAUUUCUGACCCCCGACCCCCCCGUCCCGCGCCUGCGAUUGGUGUGUCGCUCUAAAACCGACUCCAAAUCCCCGCCCCGCAGCCCUUUAAACAAUCUCCAUUGCCCGCCCUCGGCGGCAACGCGUGUGCGAAGGACGUCAUUGCCCUCUGACCCCUGACCCCCCGUUCAGUUCAUGUGAGUGGUGCGCGGGGUUGUGUGAGCGGAGACGUCGCGUGUGAGUGGCUGAGAAGCGACGGAUUGAUUCCAGGCAGCCAUGUGCCAACCCCGAGCUAUGACCCACAAACAGGACCCGCGGACCCGAGGGGCUGCGGCGCGAGGAGAGGAGCCGGAGAGCGGCAGCCCUCUCCCCGCGAGCGAGGAGUCGAGUAGCGGCUGCUCUCACUCGAGCGAGGAGUGCGGAGCCCGCAGCCCUCCCGAGAUCAGUCCUCCCCCGGGGGGGGGAGCCGGGGGCCCGCGUCCCCCACAACUGACAACCUGUGUACCAACUGGCCGAGCGAGAGUUUGUGUGUAUUUGAGCGCAAUCGUGCCAGUGUUUAGCUGUACCAGGGAGUUUGGUGCAGCAGAGUGUUUCGGUGUAGCAGGGUAUCCGGAUUGUGCCGGCACACUACCCUUCUAUCCAUAAUGUCGUAGGGUGAGCUCCAUUAAACGUUAACUCCGACCCCAACCUGUCAAAGCGCCUAAUCUCGGAACGUGGUUCUCAACAUCGUACCUCACCCAUGCUACGUAGCUUUGAGACGUCCUGCUUUUACAAAUGUUGAUGAACUGGAGGACAAAGGUCUGGAGGACCCCACAUGGAGUCUGGUUUCUCACACCUGAGCCUCCUGUGACAUUUCUGGAGGCUCCUCCGGAAUCUUUGUCCCAUUUAUUGAGUGCGGAUUUGGUUUUCUUCUAGCUUCAUCCCAAGAUGUCAUCCAGUUUGGAAAUACCCGAAGGUUGUGGGAGUGGCCCCGUGCUUCAGUUUCUUUCCAACCCUCGCAAUGGCCGGUUGCUCACCAGCCGGAAGUCUUUUGCUGCAUACACUACGACCGAGGUGUUGAGAGCAGCCAUCUCGUGGCUGGUCGGCAAUGGAGAUGGUAUCGUCGAUUAGGGGAGCGUGAGUCUGUGGCGUUGGUGGUGCUGCUGUCACGGAGGCGACACGAGUUUAGGAAAUGCAGUUUUGUGGGUUUCCUGUAGGGAGCACUGAAAGAUCCUCCCUUCCUCUUUCUCCACCCUUAUCUCUGCUAUCUCCAUGUCCCCGUUCAACUCUUUCUUCGCCGCUUUCCUUGAAUGUGCAGCCGCCUUUACGGCCUCCCCUCUCCCCUUCUCUCCACCUCCAACCAAUCUCCGUCAUAAUGCACAUGCAUAAUGUACGUUGACUCGGUAAUCCCCCCCCCCCCGCCCACUUUGCGCGAGAGCGCCACAAAUCUGGCUUGUCGCCUGAUGAAGCUAGUUGUAAUUACUGGCAAAACGUCAUACUCCGAUUGUAAAUGUUGUAGCUUGGCUCUCCAAAGUACCAGUCACGAAUUGGCUUUUGUUCUGUUUCCGUGACAACCCUUACAAGUUGGCUGUGUCGAGUGGUGGUGGGUUUAAACGACACGUUUAUAUAUGUACGCGAUCGAACCCAAAAAAGCCUCUAUGGAUGAUAUUGGGCGCGAAAGCCUACGUGUUAAACCAAAAUAAAAAAAUAUUUACAAAAUAACAAUAAUUUCUAGUUUUCCUCAUUCACAUCGUGAUUCGUAUGAAAAGACAUGAGAUGAUUGAGACAUGUUAAAUCAUAAACUAUUUAUUAAUAUAUAUACAGAUAGUCCUCGACAGCAAUGUCCUUGUCCACGUGCAAACAGAGUUAGGAUAGCAGCCUCCUUUAAAAGUCAGAGUAGAUUUAUACGCUGUAGAAGACAGUUGACGAAUCCUCGCUGCUUGAUUCCUCCUCGGAUCCCUUCAGCAGUGAAUCGUCACCAGUCUUCUCUGCCUGCUCAUUCUCCAUGUGGCACCGCUGGGGUGGGUGCGAUACGCCAGGAGACUCCUUAUGCAGCGAGCAGCGAAGCAGGCCCAUCUCUGCCUGCUCAUCCUCAACGUGGAAUUGAGGCGAUGGCGGUGAGCUGGGGGCAUCGGUGAGGAGGGUGUUACGGAGACGGCCCAGCUCUGCCUGCUGCAGAAUCGUCUGUACGACGAAGCGCUCGCGGCGCAUGCAGGCGCGCACAUGGGAUGGCGUGUCCGGGAUGAUGCAUGCAAUGCAGGCCUUCGUGAGUAACACCACGUGCUGCACACGUCCACACACAGGUAAAGGAUUUUCAGUUUCAGGAUAUGCAUGUAAAGGGUGCUUACUAAAUAUAAUAUGGCAGCAUCUCAAAGUGCUUUACAUCUCAGAUCAACUAUUCCGGGGACCUGCAGCCUAGGCAUAUUAUAUUGUUACGUCGUUUUUCCCAAAUUAAAUUAAGUCAUUUGAGUAAUUUUUGAACAUUUGGCAAAUUAUACCGAGGCACUUUUUUUUAAUUACUUAAUGGGUUUUUUACGUUCACUAUGCAGCAGGCAACAUUUAUGAUGUGCAGUUAAUGCACCCACCGUAUUCACCUGGGCAGCCGCAAAUUACCGCAACAAUCAGCAAACACACUCGGCCAUGUCACCACUACAAAGAUUCCCUGUGUAGCCUUUCACAGACUGAGACAAGUGCAUCUAUGAAGGGUGGCACAGUGCCUGUGGGGGUGGUGUGCACCUUUAUCUCGCCAGUGAUGAUUUUCACACACUUCAUCAAGUACUCAUUUUAAGACAGAAUCAACUUAAGGGAAGCUCAACACUGGUUCUAAUAUUUUCCACUGUUGUUGGCUGUGGCCAGAAAUAGUACUCCGGUCACACAGGAUUGGUAGCGCAGUUCACAAACAACAACGCAGCCGCUCCCCUUCCCACAAGCACACAUGCUUACGUAUGACAAAUUGCAUCAACAACAUGAAUCGUCUGCUGCAUGAUGAAAGUGAGUAUUGUAUUACCACUAUUAUUUGUGAUCUCAGAAAUACUGUGCAAUUGUGAGGUGUAAUAGCAUUACUGACAUUAUCUGUAAUGACCCAUUGACAAUGAUCACGGUUUGCUCUGCUGACCUUAACAACUGCUCACAGAUGAGUCUAUACGAUGGUGCAGUAGUGUAAGGCUUUGCACACUAGACUUGCAAUCCAGAGGUCACGGGUGUGAAUUGAUCUUUGGUCGUGGCAGUGUAAACAAUGGUGAAAGUUUUUUUACAUUCCACUGCCUCUAUCCACCUAGCAGUGUAAAUGGAAUACAUCCAGUCAAUUGGUCGGCUGAGUUUGGUGCUGUCCAGUGUGGGAACUCCCACAUCUUCCCAAGACGUCUGACAAGUGUGGAAGAGCAGUUAAAAUACAUCUUAAGGGUCUCGCUUGAACUCCAUAUAGCACAGGGGUCGGGAACCUUUUUGACUAAGAGAGCCAUGAAAGCAAAAAAUUUGGAAAUUUAUUUCAGUGAGAGCC